AGUCCUGUCCCCAGUGGGACUGAUGUAGUGACACAAACAUCGUCGCACGUGUCCGAGGAUGGGUUGGGCCAGGGGUCGGGGGGCGUAGCUGUUACGUGCAGGGUUGGUGCUGCAGAACCCGGGAGGAGGAGCAGGCCUGAGUGGAGGCCCACAAGGGUGUGGUGGGUGUGUGGUGAAUGUACUCAUUACCCAAAUGGAAAGCUGAAAGGGAGUCGAGUCCUGAGCGCAGAAGAACAGGUAAAGUUUGUAGAUAGAAAGUAAUAUGGUACCCAUAGGAAGAAUUACGGGGGUAGGGUAGAGGGAAAGAAAGUUUUAGUGAGAUGGGAGAUGGACCCGCCACUUUUAGACAGUUUUAACAUGACGUUAGAAAAGGUUUUAGGAUGAAGUGUCGUUAGAAAAAUGUGUUUGGUUUAUGUAAAAAGAUGGUCGUUUCAAACCGUUUAAAAAAUGUAUCUUUUUUUCACUACCCAUGUCGACCGUCGGAAAUUUACGGAUUGUGUUUAAAUGGUUAAUGAUUACUCUGGCGUAUUCCUGAUCUUUUCUCUCAGCUUCAUAUGAGGAGACUGAAUUUUUGUGAUAAUAGUGGAUGCAUCAACACAAAAUUUUUAAAACGUUUAGAUUUUUGUGUUUAUUCUACCAGAAAUCAGAGUCAAUUCAGAUGGCACUGUGCUCUUGAUAUAAUCCACACAAAUAGCCAGAGUCAAUUAUUUUUCUUCAGUCAGAGAAAAUAAUGUAACACAAGAUAUACUAAAAUAAACAUAUUUAUAAAAUAUAUAUUUGAUGUGAACCAAAUUAAUUUCUCAAGUGGAAAUUCUUCAGGAAUAGAAAAAUAAUUGAAUGUUGGAAAUGGUAGUUGAAGUGGAAUAGUAGUUUGAUUCUUUACUACCUGAGUGAACUUGAACAAGUCACUACCUUUUUGGCUUCAGAUAAUAAUAGUAUCUCAUGGGGUUGCUGUAAGAUUAAAUGAGUUAAUAAGUGUAAAGUCAACAGUGUCAGUUCCAUAAUUAGUCUGAUAUAAGUUGUAACCAUUACAAUAUUAGCAAUAGUAGUUGAAUAAAUGAAUAUUUUCCUCAUUUCCUGGGCCUUAUACUAGUGCUUUUAUGGAAUAGUUUCUGAGAAGUUGUAGGUUUUUGGUCCUUGAUUUAUUUUAUUUUUAUUUUAUUUUAUUUUAUUUUAUUUUAUUUAUUUUUGAGAGAAAGGAAGAGAGAGAAUCUUGAGCAGGCGCCACACUCAAUGCAGUGCCUGACGUUGGGCUCGAUCCCAUUACCCUGGGAUCAUGACCUGAGCCUAAAUUAAGAGUUUAAUGCUUAACUGAUUGAGCCAACCAGGUACCCCUGGACCUGGAUUUAUAAUAGUAGUUUAAAAAUAAUCUAAUAUGUCAUUGGUUUCCCAUACGAUGUUUUCAAGACUAUCAGUGACUUCUUUCACUGAAAACAAUAGUUAACCUAGUGCUUGACUCAUUAGAGGGCCUCUAUUUAAGGAAUUUCUUCUUGAAUCCUUUCAUAAAAUACAAUCACUUGGUAAUGAUUAUUCACAGAUUUGCUUUUAAUACUUUAUUUAAUGUUAUUAUACUUGUGUAGUGUGUUUGUUAGUAUUGUCUCCACAGAGUCAUUAUAGUUACGACUUACAAAGAAAAACAAUCCAUUCACACGUCACUUUUUUAAGUGGUAAAAUAUACUCCAAGUUGAUGUCACAGGAUUUUAGACUUGGAAGGCACCAUAGCGUUCAUCUAGUCCAAGCAUCCAGAUUUACAAAUGUGGAAACGGCUUUAGCAUGAGAUUGCAUGAAAGUGCUAAGAAGUAGCAUAUUGGUUUGGAUGAAUUACAGGUGUUUUCAAAAGUUUAUGUGUAUAAUAAAUACUUUUUGAGCCCGACAAAAGAACAAGAAGACUGUUGAACAUAAAGUUAAUUUCUAAAUGCUUAGUUAGAAUGAUUCCUGGUGGCUAAUGCUAAGAAUGCUGUAUUCCCAUAUGGUCUAAUAGCAUCCAUACUUAGAAAUUAAACUUAAGGGGCCCCUGGGUGGCUCAGUCGGUUAAGUGCCCGACUUUGGUUCAGGUCAUUAUCUCGCAGUUCAUGAGUUCCAGCCCCAGGUUGCACUCUGUGCUGAUGGCUAGGAGCCUUGAGCCUGCUUCGGAUUCUGUGUCUCCCUCUCUCCCUUUGCCCCUACCCCGCUCAUACUGUGUGUGUGUGUGUGUGUGUGUGUGUGUGUGUGUGUGCGCGCGCGCGCGCGCGCCUUAAAAAUAAACAUUAAAGAAAAAUUAAACUUAAGACAUUCUCGGUUGACUCCAUAGCUCAGGGGUUAGAGCACUGGUCUUGUAAACUUAAGACAUUCUGUUGUUUAUAAACAUAAUGACAUAAUGUAUUUCUGACAUUAUUAGUUCAAGAGAUAAAAUUCUUGCAUUUUAGUAGCAAAAACUAAAAAUAUGAUGGUCUCAGAUGAAGUUUUGAGUCCUUCAAUUUUAUUGUAUUUGAUGUAAGUAAACAUUUUGUAAUUAAUUAUUAAUAAGUUUGCCAGACCACACUUGUAGAAUUCAUUUCUUUUUCUAUAAUAGCCUAAAAUCUGAGUUAUUACUAAAUAAAUGCUUUGAGUGGGCAUAACUUUGAGGAAAGUGUGGGUUAUAACUGGUAUAAAUUAAGAUACAUAGAUGUCCCAGAACAACAUUCUGUGAACCGGCCACAUGAGUAUGAUUUUUAGCAGUUGACUCAGAUACCUUGUUUGAAAACACAUGGUAUGUGGUAUUUUAGUAAUAAAAAAAAAUCUCUUAGAUAUUAUUGAAGUUUUCUUUUGUCUUAUAUAUAUUUGUAAAACAUUGAAUUCUUAUUUUUAGAUUAUGGUAAAGAGAACUUUACAGCUGCUCCAUAUACUGCUGAGCUUUUAGCGAGCAAGAAAUGAGAUACAGUAAAGAAAAUGACACAUUAUCAUGGUAGAGCAGCCCAAUAGUUUUAGUACCCUGGACUAUGGACACAGUGUUUAAUUUGAAUCUCAGUCUAAGUCAUUUGUACUAUCAGAGUAUUAGGCUAGAUUAUUUGUACAGAUUAGUAUCUGCCAAAGCUAGACAUUCAGCUUCCUGAGAUCAAAAGAUAAGCCCAAGCCUAUAAACAUAGUUUAGUAGGGAAACAGAGACUUAAAAAGAUAACGAUUCUAUAAUGGACAUAUAGACAGGUACACGGGGAAUUUAAGAGGGAGACCUAAAUCUGAAUGGGAAUAAGUGUGGGGAUGGCAAGUGAGAAGAGGAAAUGAGAAGGGGGAAAGAGAUUAGGUAAAAGAUAACGUAAAGACAUUUAUACCUGAACAAUUAUUGAAGAUUGCUGCUGUAUAUUUUUUGGAGGGCUUCAGGGUGGCAUUGUAGAAUGCUCAACUAUAGUGAAUGCAAGGUAUGAAAUGCAGUGUUUCUGGGAACUACAGGUGCUUCUGUAUAGCUACAGUGUGGUCUCCAGAGUAGAGUUUGCACCCCAGCAGAUAUGCAGGAUGAUUGACUGGGGUGAAGGAAGAAAAUACUACAAUUUCAGUAUAUUUGUUUUUUUUUUUUAAUUCUUAAAUCUCUAUUUUAGUUUACUUUUUGGUGUAUAUAAUAGCAUUGCAUGUAUAAAGUAUAAACUUAUAAAUAUACUUUUAUAUAUAAAUAUAUAUUAGUGACAUAUAACAAUUUGUUUUAUGUAUAUAUUAUUUAUGAUAGAACUAGGAUUAAGAUUUAGACAACAAAUCUAUUCUCAAAGUUUUAUAUAUACAUAUAUAUAUAUAUGUAUAUAUAGUGGCUAAUAUACAAUGUGUACAGUGUGCUCUUGGUUUUUGGGGUGCAUUCCCGUGGUUUAUUGCUUACAUACAACACCCACUGCUCAUCCCAACAAGUGCCCUCCUCAAUGCCCAUCACCCAUUUUCCCCUCUCCCCCACACUCCCAUCAACCCUCAGUUCUCUGUAUUUAAGUCUCUUAUGGUUUGCCUCCUCCCUCUCUGUUUGUAACUGUUUUUUUCCCCCUUCCCUUCCCUCAUGGUCUUCUGUUAAGUUUUUCAAGAUCCACUUAUGACUGAAAACAUGUGAUAUCUGUCCUUCUCUGACUGACUUAUUUCACUCCGCAUAGUACCUUCUAGUUCCAUGACAUUGCUGCAAAUGGCAUGAAUUCUUUCUCAUUGCCAAGUAGUAUUCCAUUGUACAUAUAAAUUGCAUCUUUAUCCAUUCAUCAGUUGAUGGACAUUUAGGCUCUUUCCAUAAUUUGCCUAUUGUUGAAAGUGCUGCUAUAAACAUUGGGGUACAAGUGCCCCUAGGCAUCAGCACUCCUGUAUCCUUCGAAUAAAUUCCUAGUAGUGCCAUUGCUGGGUCAUAGGUAGUUCUAUUUUUAAUUUUUUGAGGAACCUCUACACUGUUUUCCAGAGCGGCUGCACCAGUUUGCAUUCCCACCAACAGUGCAAGAGGGUUCCCAUUUCUCCACAUCCUGUCCAGCAUCUACAGUCUCCUGAUUUGUUCAUUUUAGCCACUCUGACCAGUGUGAGGUGGUAUGUCAGUGUGGCUUUGAUUUGUAUUUCCCUGAUGAGGAGUGAUGUUGAGCAUCUUUUCAUGUGUCUGUUGGCCAUCUGGAUGUCUUCUUUGGAAAAGUGUUCAUGUCUUCUGCCCAUUUCUUCACUGGAUUGUUUUUCUGGUGUUGAGUUUGGUAAGUUCUUUUGUAGAUUUUGGAUACUAACCCUUCUUCCAAUAUGUCAUUUGCAAAUAUCUUUUCCCAUUCCAUCAGUUGCCUUUUAGUUUUGUUGAUUGUUUCCCUUGCAGUGCAGAAGCUUUUUCUCUUCAUGAGGUACCAAUAGUUCAUUUUUACUUUUAAGUCCCUUGCCUUUGGAGACGUGUCAAGCAAGAAAUUGCUGUGACUGAGGUCAAAGAGGUUGUUGCCUGCUUUCUCCUCUAGGGUUUUGAUGGUUUCCUGUCUCACAUUCAGGUCCUUUUUCCAUUUUGAGUUUAUUUUUGUGAAUGGUGUGAGAAAGUGGUCUAGUUUCAUUCUUCUGCAUGUUGCUGUCCAGUUCUCCCAGCACCAUUUGUUAAAGAGACUGUCUUUUUUCCAUUGGAUAUUCUUUCCUGCUUUGUCAAAGAUUAGUUGGCCAUACAUUUGUGGGUCCAAUUCUGGGUUUUCUAUUCUAUUCCAUUGGUCUAGGUGUCUGUUUUUGUGCCAAUACCAUACUUUCUAAGAGAGAAAUUUAUGGCAAUACAGGCCUCCUUAAGAAGCAAGACAAAUCUCAAACGACCUAACCUUACAGCUAAAUGAGAUAGAAAAAAGAACAAACAAAUCCAAAUCCAGCAGAAGGAAGCAAACAGUGAAGAUUAGAGCAGAAACAAAUGAUACAAAACUAAGAAAGCUAGGAGCUUGUUCUUUGAAAAGAUCAAUAAAAUUGAUAAUCCCCUAGCCAGACUCAUCAAACAAACAUAAAACAACAACAAAAAAACCCAAAACUCAAAAUCACAAAUGAGAGAGGAGAAAUAACAACCAACACCACAGAAAUACAAUUACAAGAGAAUAUUAUGAAAAAACUGUAUGCCAACAAAUUGGACAAACUUAGAAGAAGUGGAUAAAUUUGUGGAAACAUAACUAACCAAAUUAGAAUCAGAAAGAAAUAGAAAGUUUGAAUAGACUGAACCGGCAAAUAAAUUGAAUCAGUAACCAAACAACCACCCAAAAACACAAGUCAAAGACCAGAUGGCUUCACAGUUGAAUUCUACCAAACAUCUGAAGAAUUAAUAGGUAUUCUUAUCCAAGUAUUUCAAAAAAUAAAAAAGGAAGGAAAACUAACAAAUUAAUUCUGUGAGGCCAGCAUUAUCCUGACAGCAAAACCAGAUAAAGACACCACUACAAGAGAGAACUGCAGGCUAUUAUCUGUGAUGAACAUAGAUGCAAAAAUUCUCAAUAAGUACUAGCAAACCGAAUUAAACAAUACAUUCAGAAAGCCAUUCACCUACAUAAAAUAAAAAAAAAAAAUCAUUCGCCACAAUCAAGUGGAAUUUAUUUCUUGGUUGCAAGGGUGGUUCAGUGUUUCCGAAUCACUUAAUGUGAUACGUCAAAAACAUUUGACAAAAUACAACAUCCAUUCACAAUAAAAACCCUCAACAAAGUAGGUCCAGAGGGAAUAUAUGUCAACAUGAUAAAGGCUUUAUAUGAAAAACCAACAGCUAACCUCAUUCUCAGUGGGGAAAAACUGAGAGCUUUUUGGCUAAGGUCAGGGGGAAGACAAGGAUGUCCACUCUCAAACUGCUAUUCAACAUAGUACUGGAAGUCCUAUCCACAGCAAUCAGACAACAAAAAGAAAAGGAAUCCAAAUCGGCAAGGAAGAAGUGAAACUUUCACUAUUUCCAGAUGAAAUGAUACUGUAUAUGGAAAAUCUGAAAGACUCCACCAAAAAAGCUAGAACAAACAGUUCUAACAUUUAUAUGAAAUCAUGAAAGACCCCAAAUAGCCAAAGCACUAUUGAAAAAGAAGCAAACCUGGAAGCAUCACAAUUCUAGACUUCAAGUUAUUACAAAUCUGUAGUAAUCAAAACAGUAUGAUGCUGUCACAAAAAUAAACACACAGAUCAGUGGAACAGAAUAGAAAACCCAGAAAUAAACCCAAACUUUAUGGUCAAUUAAUUUUGACAAAACAGGAAAGAAUGUCCGAUGGGAAAAGGACGGUCUCUUUAACAAAUGGUAUUGGGAAAACUGGACAGCAACACGCAAAAGAAAGAAGCUGGACCACUUUCUUACACCUAUUAAAAAAUAAAUUCAAAAUGGAUUAAAGACCUAACUGGGAGACCUGAAACCAUCAAAAUCCUAGAAGAGAAUACAAGUAGUAACUUCUUUGACAUCAGCCAUAGCAACUUUUUCCUGGAUAUGUAUUGUGAGGCAAGGGAAACAAAAGCAAAAAUACACUUUUGGGACUACAUAAAAAUAAAGAGCAUUUGCACAGUGAAGGAAAUCAAACUGAAAGGCAAGUCGAACAAAACUGAAAGGCAACCUCUACAGAAUGGAAGAAGAUAUUUGGAAAUGACAUAUCUGAUAAAGGGUCAGUACAAAAAUAUAUAAAGAACUUAUGAAACUCAAUGCCAAAAAAAAAUGCAAUUAAAAAAUGGGGAAGACAUGAACAGACAUUUCUCCAAAGAAGAGUACAUAUGGCCAAUAGACACAUAAAAGAAUGCUCAACAUGACUGAUCAUCAGAGAAAUGCAAAUCAAAACUAUAAUGAGAUAUCCCCUCACACCUGUCAGAAUGGCUAAAAUCAACAGCACAAGAAACAACAGGUAUUGGCGAGGAUGUGGAGAAAAAGGAACAUUUGUGCAUUGUUGGUGGGAAUUCACACUGGUGGAGCCACUGUGGAAAACAGUAUGGAGGUUCCUCAAAAGUUAAAAAUAGAACUACGAUUCAGCAUUUUCACUAUGAGGUGUUUAUGCAAAGAAUACAAGAACACUAAUUCAAAGGGAUACAUGCACCCUGAUGUUUAUAGUAGCAUUAUCUACGGUAGCAGAUUUUUAUCGUAGAAACCCAAGUGUCCAUCAGCUGAUGAAUGGAUAAAGAAUAAUGGUAUGUAUCUACAAUGGAAUAUUAUUCAGUCAUAAAAACAAAGGAAAUCUUGUUAUUUGCAGUGACAUGGAUGCAAGCUAGAGAAUAUAAUGGUAGGCAAAAUAAGUCAGAAAAAGACAAAUACUAUAUGAUUUCACUUGUGGAAUUUAAGAAAAAAAAAAACAAGCAAAAGGAAAAAAAGACAAACCAGGAAACAGACUCUUAACUAUAGAGAACAAAUUGAUGGUUAUCAGGGAGGAGGUGAGUGGAAGAAUGGGUGAAAUAGAGGAUGGGGCUUAAGGAGUGUACUUGUGAUGAGCACUAGGUGAUGUAUGGAAUUGUUGAAUCAGUAUUGUAUACCUAAAACUAAUAUAACAGCAUAUGUUAACUAUACUGGAAUUCAAAUAAAAAAAUUCAUAAAAAUAUUUUAGGUUUAAAAUAAAUCAUUUAAUUAUUUAUUUUUGAGAGAGUGUGAAUGGGGGAGGGGCAGAGAGAGAGGGAGACAGAAAAUCCCGAGCAGGCUUCAUGCUGUCAGUGCAAGAAAGAUGGAAUGUCUGAGACGGAUAAUUGGUUAAGAGAGAUGAGAUCAGCAGUUUGUCAGGUAUGAUGGGUCCCAACUACCUGCUAUGUGGAUAGCUAAAAGGCUGAAUUAUAUUAGUGCAAAUGAAGGAAUCAAAUAAGGGAUUGGAGAUCUGGAUAAUGAUGGGUUAAAAAUGCAAGGGGAAUAAGAGUAAUAACUGGGAGAAUAGUAGGUAAGGAAGAUCAAGUAAGAAAUAAAUUUCAUAGUCUAAUAAAUACCUUUUUUUGUAGGCAUGAAGACUUUUUUUCUUAAAACUUUUCUGGAUAUUCAGUACAGCUGAAUAUGAGAGUACUUGUUUCCAAACUUUUAUGAUCUGGCUUCCCAAGCAGAAAAUAUUUUGAAUAGGUACCCCCAAUGUAUCUAUAUUUAUUUAUCAAUCAUUUAAUCAUAUUCUGUAGUAUUAUAUUUUGUAUAUUGUAAAGUGUUACAAUCUAAAUACUUAAACAUGAGAGAUAAGCAUAUUUUAAAAUAAGUGUUAACAUUAAUGUUACAAAACGUUAGUUUUGGUGAGGGCAUUGUGAUAUUUCAUUAGUUUUGAAAACCUUGGUUAAUACUUGACUGUAGAACUAUUUGAAAGUUUUGUUUUAUAUUAAAUUUAUUUUAAUACUUGGCUUUAAUGACUUUUGUAGUUCAGAGCUCAUAAAGAUGCAUACAUCCAGAUGGAAUGGCAUUGUAAGCUGGGCUGACUAUAUUAGACAGGCAAAAGUUUUUGUUGAAAUAAACCAAUGAGAGUUUUGUCUUCCCUAAUUUCAAAUAGUUGUUCUUGAAGUCUAAUAAUACUACGGUUCUACUUUGAUGGAUAAUUUUCAUUUGCCCAUCCAAAUCUAUUCUCCACUUUUGUGCACUGUGCUGUGUCCCAGGAGGCUGAUUUCUAAGGACUGCAUCAACUGGUCUGCCUUGUGUUCUGGCUUUUGAUUGGGUUCAGUCAAUGGGAGGCACUGACAGGAGGACUGGAGAGAGGUCAGGAUAGCCUAAUGGCUUUCGCUUUGCUGGGCAACUGUGCUCCAUCAUUCUGUGGCCCUCUUCUGUAAUUAUAGCUUCCUUUGUUCUAGUAAUAAUCCCAUCUUUUCCCCCUUUUGGGUCCAGAGUGAUGAUAGCUCCCUAGCUAGCCCAAGAGUGCUUCACCAUCCCUUACUAAUUUCCCUUAACGUUGGCUACGCAUUUGUGAAUAGUCUUUUCAUUAAACAUUACAUCCGUUUUAGUAUUACCUUGCUAGCACUCUGAGGGCUGUAGUCGCAUUUAAAAAUUUUGACUGAAACUCUUUAUUUAGAAUAUUUUUAAACAGAUUAGAUAAUUUUGUUUCCAAGUUUUAGUUGUACAGAUAGAGUUUUUAUAGGUGACACAUUUCUUUGUUUUGAUAGCAACAACGAAAAUCACAUAAUAAGGGAAACUUUUUCAAACAUCUGUUUUUUGGGGGUGGGCAGUGUUAGUGCAUGUAUUAACCAUAAGUAAAGCUUAAAUAGCAAUUUACUUCUUUAUUAAUACUUAACUUGAAUAAUUUGAAACAGAAUUAAGCCUCUGAAUUCUGAAAUUUGGAAUGUGUUAACAACACAGAAAAGACCUUUGGUGCUUUAUAUGAAAAAAAAAACAAAAACAAAAACAAAGGGUAACUAAAACUCAAUGAGUCCACUAUAAUUAUUGCUUAGCUUUUGCUUAUAGUUAGCAAUCUGUUAUUUUCAAACUAUUGCCAGAGUGAUUUCAUAAACUAAUUUUCCUAAUAGUACAAAAGCUUGAAUUUUGGAAAGGGAGAGUUAUUUUAGUGUAUGAUUUGAUUGUUGAUUGGUUGUCUGACAAUUCUUAUUUGGAGGUAAGAUUUAUUUUUGUCUUAUUGCAUUUUAUUCUCUGAUAAAUGAAACCCAAGUAGUUAGUAACAAUUGUUUGAUAGGUAUUUCACUCUGGAGAAAAUAGAUGGCUGCAAUUUUUCAACUUGAAUUAUGUCUGUAAAUUUAAAAUGAAAAAUAGCUUGGCUUGUAUCCUUCCAUAUAUCUUGUGUGUGUGUGUGUGUGUGUGUGUGUGUGUGUGUGUGUGUGUGUGGCUCUGAAGUUACAUCCAUUAAAAAAAACAAAAUCCUUAUUCUCCUGGAGCUUUUAUUCUGGUGAGUUGAAAAAUUACCAAAUAAAUAGGUAAUUAUACAAUAUAAUGUCGUGGUAAACAGGAAGGAAAAGAAAUGGGUAAGGGAACAGAGUAACAAGGGAUCCUUUACCAGUUAUGAUGGUCAGGGAAGUCCUCUCAGGAAGUCCUCUCAACUGCUGUUGAACAGACAUUAGGAUAAAGUGAUAAUGCCUAGCCAUACAGAUACCUGGGGGAAGAGUGCCUGAAGUGAGGAUGAGCUUGAUCAAAGGCAAAGCUGAUAUUGGUGUGACUAAGAAUAACAGAGACAUUUGUGGCCAGAACACAAAGAGCAAUGAGCAAAAUGGUAUAAAAUGAGGUCUGGAGUGGUUGAUGAGGGUCAUAUCACACUGGUCUUAUAGGCCAUCAGAAUUUUGGUUUUUAAGUGUAACUGAAAGGCUUUGGAGGAGACAGAGCAGGGGGAUGACAUGAUCUGAUUACCUUUCGAAAGGAUGACCUGGAUUGCUGAAUGAAGAAUAGACUGUAAAGAGAUCAGAGUAGAAGCCAGGGUGCCUGUCACAAAGAGAUUGCAGUAGUCAGAUGAGACUUUGAACUUGUAUACAAACACACAUGCUACUUGGUGCCAUAUAUAUGUUUACAUAUACUUAUUUAUAUGUGAUUGCUUUUGGCUUAAAAGAUAUAUUCAGAUUUUUUUUCACAUUCAGCAAUGUAAUGUAGACAUCUUUUAUAGUGAGUACAUACAGACUUCCUUACUCCUUUUGAUGGAUGGAUGUUAUUCCAUGUUAUGGUACACAUUAUUUAAUCCAUGUUGUAUAAAAGGACAUUUAUGUUUACAGGUUAUUCUUUUUACUUUUUUAUUUAAGUUUACCUAUUUAUUUUGAGAGAGACAGAGACAGCAUGAGCAGGGGAGGGGCAAAGAGAGAGGGAGAGAGAUAAUCCUAAGCAGGCUCUGUACUGCCAGCUGCAGAGACUGACACAGGGCUUGAACUCACAAACCAUGAGAUCAUGAUCUGAGCUGAAACCAAGAGUUAGUCGCUUAACUUACUGAACCACCCAGGGGCUUUGGGGGUUAUUCUUUUUAAAAGUACUCUGUGCAAACUGUGUGUGUGUGUGUGUGUGUGUGUGUGUGUGUGUGUGUGUGUAUUAUUGCUCACAGUUGUGGAGAUACGCCUGUAGGGUAAAUUUCUAGGAGCAUGAAGGGUCAAAGGAUAUGUGCACGUUAAAUUUUAAUGAUUCU